rnacentral:lncRNA from 1 species
UUAAUGACCUAAAAUCCCUCAAAUUUGGAACACCAACAACAGUCAUUAUUAUGGUCACAUUAUGGUCAUUUGCUGGAAAUUAAAAAUAAAAAGAAAAUGAGAGCUAUUCACUAAUUUCAAUUUUCCAAACUUAAAUAUCUCUAUUUUCAAUACAUUUUUCUAUUUUUAAUAUUACUUCAGGGAGCUUAUAUGAGUGAUCUUUCAUAAGCAUGAUAAUUUAAAUAAUAAGGAAAGUAAAGAAUUGGAACUCAAAUCAAAACUUGUAGAACUUCAAAUCCAGCACACUUUUACAACUGUUUAUUAGAAAGUAAGACAACAAUCUCUGCUUUCCUUUUAGGUCUUAACAUUGACAGAAAUAACUUAGAGAAAAAAAAAAUCUAAGUGUGGAUUGACUGUCUAUCCUAUGAUGGUUUUCACCCUGUUGGUUGCUAUCGGUCUAAAUAGCCACUUCCACCCACUCCAGACCAUAAGCUCCACACAGAUCAUGUCAUUGGAUACUCCAGAAAAUGAAUAUGUCUUGAAGUGCAUGGAGUGUGUGAUUAACUCCCUGAGUAGGGUACCCAAGGUAGAUAACAACUAUAGGCCCCUCUCUUCUCUUUGAUUCUCCCCAUGGAGGAAAAGAUGGGGUGAGAGUGUACAAAGGUAUGUACAUGUGACAAAGAAGGUGGUAGAAACACAAAUAAUGGCAUACAUUCAAUGCAAUGAUUAGAAUUCUCUACAUGUAAUUCCUUCCGAAAAGCAUUAACAAAGGCUCUUCAAAGCUGAGUCUUUUUAUCAGCUCAUAUUCUAUGAGCACCUGGGUUGUUAAAAUGUGUGUGAUAGGAAAGGAAGUGACCCCUGCCAACCUGUGCCUCAAAUAGGCUUGUUUCAUGCUGGGAGAAAACCAUUUGGCCACACACAGAAGAAACGAUGCACCCUUUCAAUUCUUCCCCUGACAGAUGUGGAAGGGGUAAUUUAUCACCCAAGGCCAAGAACUUUUGUGU